rnacentral:rRNA from 1 species
UGGGGAAUAUUGGACAAUGGGCGCAAGCCUGAUCCAGCCAUGCCGCGUGAGUGAUGAAGGCCUUAGGGUUGUAAAGCUCUUUCACCGGGGAAGAUAAUGACGGUACCCGGAGAAGAAGCCCCGGCUAACUUCGUGCCAGCAGCCGCGGUAAUACGAAGGGGGCUAGCGUUGUUCGGAAUUACUGGGCGUAAAGCGCACGUAGGCGGACAUUUAAGUCAGGGGUGAAAUCCCGGGGCUCAACCCCGGAACUGCCUUUGAUACUGGGUGUCUUGAGUGUGGAAGAGGUCAGUGGAAUUGCGAGUGUAGAGGUGAAAUUCGUAGAUAUUCGCAGGAACACCAGUGGCGAAGGCGGCUGACUGGUCCACAACUGACGCUGAGGUGCGAAAGCGUGGGGAGCAAACA